AUUGAACGCUGGCGGCAUGCCUAACACAUGCAAGUCGAGCGAGCGGCGGACGGGUGAGUAAUGUAUGGGGACUGCCCGAUAGAGGGGGAUAACUACUGGAAACGGUAGCUAAUACCGCAUACUAUCCGAUAACCCAUAUGGGAUGAGCUAGUUGGUGAGGUAAUGGCUCACCAAGGCGACGAUCCCUAGCUGGUCUGAGAGGAUGAUCAGCAACACUGAGAAUGCGACACGGCCCAUCCGCCUGCGGAGGCAACGGUGGGGAAUAUUGCCCAAUGGGCGGAAGCCAGAUGCAGCCAUGCAGCGUGUAUGAACAAGGCCCUAGGGUUGUAAAGUACUUUAAGUCGGGAGGCGUUGCCGACAGAAGAAGCACCGGCUAACGCCGUGCCAGCAGCCGCGGUAAUAC
rnacentral:rRNA from 1 species